GCCUCAGUAACGGCGAGUGAAGCGGCAACAGCUCAAAUUUGAAAUCUGGCCUCACGGUCCGAAUUGUAAUUUGUAGAGGAUGUUUCGAACGUGGUCCGGUCUAAGUUCCUUGGAACAGGACGUCAUAGAGGGUGAGAAUCCCGUAUGCGACUGGGUGCCUAAGUUCAUGUGAAACUCCUUCGACGAGUCGAGUUGUUUGGGAAUGCAGCUCAAAAUGGGUGGUAAAUUUCAUCUAAAGCUAAAUACUGGCCAGAGACCGAUAGCGCACAAGUAGAGUGAUCGAAAGAUGAAAAGCACUUUGGAAAGAGAGUUAAACAGUACGUGAAAUUGUUGAAAGGGAAGCGCUUGCAAUCAGACUUGCAUGCAGUUGAUCAUCCGGUGUUCUCACCGGUGCACUCAGCUGCAUUCAGGCCAGCAUCAGUUUCGGUGGUUGGAUAAAGGCUCUGGGAACGUAGCUUCUUUCGGGGAGUGUUAUAGCCCAGGGUGCAAUGCAGCCUACCGGGACUGAGGACCGCGCUUCGGCUAGGAUGCUGGCGUAAUGGUUGUAAGCGACCCGUCUUGAAACACGGACCAAGGAGUCUAACAUUUAUGCGAGUGUUUGGGUGUCAAACCCAUACGCGUAAUGAAAGUGAACGGAGGUGAGAACCCUUAAGGGUGCAUCAUCGACCGAUCCUGAUGUCUUCGGAUGGAUUUGAGUAAGAGCAUAACUGUUGGGACCCGAAAGAUGGUGAACUAUGCGUGGAUAGGGUGAAGCCAGAGGAAACUCUGGUGGAGGCUCGCAGCGGUUCUGACGUGCAAAUCGAUCGUCAAAUCUGCGUAUAGGGGCGAAAGACUAAUCGAACCAUCUGAACC
rnacentral:rRNA from 1 species